UAAACGACAGUUGUGAUCAAAAGUCGAUCUAUUUCAUUUGUCAAAGUGACGUUUUAAACGUCAAACAAAAAUUUUUUUUCCUAUUUUUCC